GAAGUAGUUGAAAAGCUACGCGAUAAAGGGUUAUAGCCCCGUAUCUUAAAUUGGUUUAAUACCUAGCAGGAUCCUGAGUACAUCGAGAAACGUUAUCUUGAUGGAAGUCGCCCAGACCAUUGGGCAAGCCUAAAUACUAACUAGUGACCGAUAGCGUAUAGUACCGUGAGGGAAAGGUGAAAAGAACCCAGGGAUGGGAGUGAAA
rnacentral:rRNA from 1 species